rfam:Triticum aestivum genome assembly, contig: Triticum_aestivum_CS42_TGACv1_scaffold_643339_T_4DL-0.210053_5DS-0.183350
GUGACACUCCCUCCGUCCGAAAAUACUUGUCAUCAAAAUAGACUAAAAGGGAUGUAUCUAGAACUAAAAUACAUCUAGAUACAUCUCCUUUUAUUCAUUUUGAUGACAAGUAUUUCCGGACGGAGGGAGUAUCAU